GGAAUAUUGGACAAUGGGCGCAAGCCUGAUCCAGCCAUGCCGCGUGCAGGAUGACGGUCCUAUGGAUUGUAAACUGCUUUUAUACGAGAAGAAACACUGCUACGUGUAGCAGCUUGACGGUAUCGUAAGAAUAAGGAUCGGCUAACUCCGUGCCAGCAGCCGCGGUAAUACGGAGGAUCCAAGCGUUAUCCGGAAUCAUUGGGUUUAAAGGGUCCGUAGGCGGUUUAAUAAGUCAGUGGUGAAAGCCCAUCGCUCAACGGUGGAACGGCCAUUGAUACUGUUAGACUUGAAUUAUUAGGAAGUAACUAGAAUAUGUAGUGUAGCGGUGAAAUGCUUAGAGAUUACAUGGAAUACCAAUUGCGAAGGCAGGUUACUACUAAUUGAUUGACGCUGAUGGACGAAAGCGUGGGUAGCGAACAGGAUUAGAUACCCCUG
rnacentral:rRNA from 1 species